AUUGACCAAGUGAGAAGUGGGGUUAGGCUGGAGGGCACAAACCAGGAUGGACAGUAUACCAUUGUUUUCUGUCCCAUCGUCUCCCGUGUUGGUUCAGAUGUGGAGGCAGCCAUGCAAAACAUGCCAUCCAAUAAAAAAGUCGUCCUGGUCCUGAUGCAUCACACCAGAGAUCCAGACUACUCCACCGCUGGGAGGAGCUGGUCAGAAGUUUAUCGGAACGUCGACUUAGAAGUUCAUGUCCUCUUCCAUGAAAGUGUUCCUGGGUUACUAACCUGUUCUAAGAACGCAGAUGCAGUGUAUCAAAUGCAAGAGUACUUCCAACAAAGCAGAAUUAACUCUCAGCGUUGGCACAUGAUCCUUCUUGCAUUGGUGAUUGUUAUUAUUGCUGUCGUUCUAUUUUCACUGUUGUUUUACUUUUUAGAGGUAAAAGAAAAACCAACAAACAGAACCAAUUAAAAAUCAGACAGUAAUAUUGUUCAGUGUUAAUGUCUCUGAGUACAUGUUUGUAUAAAUGUAAACAUGUAUGGAACAAGAAGGUUUGGGGUUCAAUUCCUAGGGUUAGCAUGUUAGCAUGUUAGCAUGUUCCUCUCCAGGUACCAAGACUUCCUUCUAAAUCCAAAAAAUCACAAAUGUUCCAUUAAACUGUGUUCAUGUAAUUUGUUCAGUCAUUUCUGAGUUUUUCUGGUUUAAAUGUGCAAACAAAGUUACAUUUGAAUCCCCAGUGUCUUUAAUCUGUACAAGCUUUUCUCACUGAUUUAUAUGGCUGCGUUGGAUUGUGUUGAUGUUUUUUUUUUUAAAAGUGCCUUCAGACAUGAGUUGUGUAUAAAAAACAGAAAUGAAUUAAAAUGGACAGAAUUGCAACAGAUUUUAAGCCGUAUAACAAACAUCCACUUAUAAAUGUUUUGACUGAUCAAUAACAGGAUUGUAUUAAUAAGUUGUCUAAUAUCAUCUAGUUUUCAACUAUCAUUACUUUGGUGGCUGUGUUGCUGCUUUUAUGUGAUGCGUGUAGCUGUAGGUGUUUAAAUAUCAGUAUAUUCUGAGCUCUUGCCUACCUUGAAUGAAGGUGAAUUGUCUUCCGUUUCCUUGGUAAAUAAAAGUGUAAAGAAUAAAA